rnacentral:rRNA from 1 species
AUAGUAGUGUCAGAGUUUGAUCCUGGCUCAGGAUGAACGCUAGCUACAGGCUUAACACAUGCAAGUCGAGGGGCAGCAUGAAUAUUGGCUUGCCAAUAUUUGAUGGCGACCGGCGCACGGGUGAGUAACACGUAUCCAACCUACCGUAUACACGAGGAUAGCCUUUCGAAAGAAAGAUUAAUACUCGAUAUUAUCAUGAGUUCGCAUGGAUUUAUGAUGAAAGAUUCAUCAGUAUACGAUGGGGAUGCGUUCCAUUAGACAGUUGGUGAGGUAACGGCUCACCAAAUCUACGAUGGAUAGGGGUUCUGAGAGGAAGGUCCCCCACAUUGGAACUGAGACACGGUCCAA